rnacentral:rRNA from 1 species
ACGUAGGGACCAAGCGUUGUUCGGAUUUACUGGGCGUAAAGGGCGCGUAGGCGGCUUGUCAAGUCACUUGUGAAAUCUCUGGGCUUAACCCAGAACGGCCAAGUGAAACUGACAUGCUAGAGUGCAGAAGGGGCAAUCGGAAUUCUUGGUGUAGCGGUGAAAUGCGUAGAUAUCAAGAGGAACACCUGAGGUGAAGACGGGUUGCUGGGCUGACACUGACGCUGAGGCGCGAAAGCCAGGGGAGCAAACGGG